UACGAAGGGGGCUAGCGUUGCUCGGAAUCACUGGGCGUAAAGGGGGCGUAGGCGGGUCUUUAAGUCGGGGGUGAAAUCCUGGAGCUCAACUCCAGAACUGCCUUUGAUACUGAAGAUCUUGAGUUCGGGAGAGGUGAGUGGAACUGCGAGUGUAGAGGUGAAAUUCGUAGAUAUUCGCAAGAACACCAGUGGCGAAGGCGGCUCACUGGCCCGAUACUGACGCUGAUGCACGAAAGCGUGGGGAGCAAACAGG
rnacentral:rRNA from 1 species